UACGAAGGGGGCUAGCGUUGUUCGGAAUCACUGGGCGUAAAGCGCACGUAGGCGGAUGUGCCAGUCAGGGGUGAAAUCCCGGAGCUCAACUCCGGAACUGCCUCUGAUACAGCACGUCUUGAGUUCGAGAGAGGUGGGUGGAAUUCCUAGUGUAGAGGUGAAAUUCGUAGAUAUUAGGAAGAACACCGGUGGCGAAGGCGGCCCACUGGAUCGGUACUGACGCUGAGGUGCGAAAGCGUGGGGGAGCAAACAGG
rnacentral:rRNA from 1 species